AUGGCCGGAGGGUCUGUCGCUCGUCGGCGAAUGAACGGCGAGAGGAAAGUCCGGGCAACACAGAGCACCAUAUUUUCUAACGGGAAGCUAUCGGUAACGGUAGAGUAAUGUGACAGAAAAUAACCGCCGGUGUCCGCAAGGACAACGGUAAGGGUGAAAAGGUGAGGUAAGAGCUCACCGGGUGAGAUGGCAACAUUUCACGCCGCACAUCUUAUGGGUUGCAAGGUCAAGUAUACCGGCAUUCAAGGGCUGCUCGUCCAUUGCCGGGGGGUAGACUGCUAACGGCUCGUAAUGAGCCAGAUAAAUGACAGACGGCCGGUUGAAACUCCUUAAGGGAAAGUUCACCGCCACAUAACCCGGCUUAUACUCUGGCCAUGCUU
rnacentral:RNase_P_RNA from 1 species